CCUACGGGUGGCAGCAGUGAGGAAUAUUGGUCAAUGGGCGAGAGCCUGAACCAGCCAAGUCGCGUGUGGGAAGACGGUCCUAUGGAUUGUAAACCUCUUUUGCCGGGGAGCAAAAAGCGGUACGUGUACCGCAUCGAGAGUACCCGGAGAAAAAGCAUCGGCUAACUCCGUGCCAGCAGCCGCGGUAAUACGGAGGAUGCGAGCGUUAUCCGGAUUUAUUGGGUUUAAAGGGUGCGCAGGCGGCGAGUUAAGUCAGCGGUAAAAUUUCGGGGCUCAACCCCCACAAGCCGUUGAAACUGGCUUGCUAGAGUGGGCGAGAAGUAUGCGGAAUGCGUGGUGUAGCGGUGAAAUGCGUAGAUAUUAGGAGGAACACCAGUGGCGAAGGCGGCUUACUGGACUGUAACUGACGUUGAGGCUCGAAGGCGUGGGGAGCAAACAGGAUUAGAUACCCCAGUAGUC
rnacentral:rRNA from 1 species